CCCUUAGAUGUCCGGGGCUGCACGCGCGCUACACUGUAGAAAGCAGCGUGCUUUAAAACCUUUCCUGAAAAGGAUGGGUAACCCCAGCAAAAUUCUACGUGCUUGGGAUAGAGAUUUGCAAUUUUCUCUCUUGAACGAGGAAUUCCCAGUAAGUGCGAGUCAUCAGCUCGCGUUGAUUACGUCCCUGCCCUUUGUACACACCGCCCGUCGCUCCUACCGAUUGAAUGUUCCGGUGAACACUUUGGAAUAGUUCUUAUGUGAGGGGAAACUCUUUGCUUGGAUACUGUGAAGUUGUGUAAACCUUAACAUUUAGAGGAAGGAGAAGUCGUAACA
rnacentral:rRNA from 1 species